GGUCCUAUAAAACCCAAAUAACCAUUCGAGUACUGAACAUAGGCCGACAAGGCCAUGGAAUCUUUUAUGUACAUGACAUCUUUAUACAAGCCUCUAAGAACACAUAAUAUUCAUAAAGGUCGGGACAGAGUCCCACCAUACCAAGCAAUACACGUCUAAAUUAGUCUAACCAAACAAGCAACUCCGAAGUAAAUGGAGCACACCAACAUCUUCCACUGAGGUGAUAGCCUACUUGGAGGGCUCUCGACCUGUCUAAUAGGACCUGCGGGCAUGAAACGUAGCGUCCCCAAGCAAAAAAGGACGUCGGUCAAAAUAAUGUAACGAGUAUUUAGGGCACAUAAAUAGGUACAUAACAGACAUGGAAGAAAUAUAGAGUAAGUGACUCAACCUGUAAGUCUUUAUAAUUCUGUAAAUCAUGAAAUACUUAUAGUUUCAUGCAUGUGCAUAUAAGUGUCAGGUCGUGCAUAGGUACAUGUGUUCAUAAUAUCAUGAAGCCUCUUGUAACAACUCGACCGGUCAUUUUGAGCUUUUGCACUCCGCUCGCCUGUUCUCGAGCAUGACUAGCACUGUGUGAUGUAUUAUGACUUAUGCAAAUCAUCGUUUUUGGUUUUCAGGGUAAUCAGAAUGGAUUUGGAAGAACAGUUCUUAGUUUGAAGCUUAAAAUUUGAAAGGUUUGACCAAGUUUUGACUUGUUAGUAUAUGAUCUCAAAUUGUAAUUUUUAUGAUUUGUUUAGCUCCAUUAGGUGAUUUGGGACUCAGGAGCGUGAUCAGAAUGUAUUUCGGAGGUCUGCGGAAGGUUUAGGCUUGAAUUAGCGAAAUUGGAAUUUUGGCGUUUUCCUGUUGAUAGGUGAGAUUUUGAUAUAGGAGUCAGAAUGGAAUUCUGUAAGUUGGAGUAGGCCUGUUGUGUCAUUUGUGAUGUGUGUACAAAAUUUCAGGUUAUUCAGACGAGGUUUGAUAGACUUUUUGAUCGAAAGCGGAAUUUGGAAGUCUUUGGAAUUCUUAGGCUUGAAUCCGUUGAUGAUUUGAUGUUUUGAUGUUGAUUUGAGCGUUCCGAAGGUUGGAACAAGUUUGAAUAAUGAUAUGGGAUAUGUUGACAUGUUUUGUUGAGGUCCCGAGGGCCUUGGGUGAGUUUCGGGUGGUUAACGGAUCAAUUUUUGGACUUUGAACUUGGCAGUUUUGCUGGUUUUUGUUGCAGAGAUUUUUGUUCAUCGUGUUCGCCGAGGGUGCAUCGUGUUCGCGAAGGAUGUUUUCUAUGAUGAUGAUUUUUUUCUAUGUGUUCGCGAAGGAGAGUACGCGAACGCGAAGGUGAAGGCAACAUGUGCAUCGCGGACGCGUGAUUGGGGUCGCAUUCGCGAAGAAGAGUGAGGUCGUUGGGCACCCCAGGCCCUUGUGCUAUGCGUUCGCGAGAUUAGUAACGUGUUCACAAAAGGCUGGAUUGGCGAAGCAUCGCGUUCGCAUGGCAGAGUCCGCGUUCACGAAGGGAAAAGUUGAGACGGAGUGUAGUUUGGUCUACGCGAACGUGAGAGGCCGGUCGUGUGCUCGAAGAAGGAAAUUUUACCUGGGACAGAAUGUUUAAAAGUGGGUUUCGCGAUUUUUGGUCUAUUUUCUCCGUUGUUGAGCGAUUUUUGGAGCUUUUGAGAAAGAUUGAAGAGGGAAUCAAAGGGAAACACUUGGAGGUAAGAUUUUUCAACUCAAUACUCGAUCCAAUGUUGAUUCUUACUUGUUCAAACAUGAAAUUUGUGGAAUUUAAAGCCUAAAAUUGGGGAAUUAGUGCUUGAAAUUGGAGAGUGUAAAUUGGGGAUUUAAGGGGCCAUUUGAGGUUUGAUUUAGAUGUUCUUUGUAUGUAUGGACUCGUGAGAGGAUAAGGAUUUUAUUGAUGUGAUUUUUAUCGGAUUCCGAGACAUGGGCCCGGGGGUCAGGUUUGGCCAAUUUCAGAAUUUUUGAUGUAAAUUGGUUAUUUCGAUUGGGCUUUGCUCCCUUAGCAUAUUUUGAUGGUAUAAAUCUGUAUUUGGUUAGAUUUGGAGUAUUUGGAGACCGAGUCGAGAGGAAAAGGCAUCGCAUGCUAGAGUUUGGACCGGAUUGAAAUAAGUAAUGAUUGUAAAUGUUUGUCCUGAGGGUAUGAAACCCUGAAUUUCACAUCGUUAUGCUACUUUGAGGUGACGCAUGCGCUAGUUGACGAGCGUGGGGUCAUGCACCAUUGGGGAUACUAACUUAGUCCAUCACGUACGACUGUUAAGUCACGUAUUUGAUUAAAACUUGUUUGAUAUCAGUGUGUUUUGGAAAGUAUUAUCAUGUUUUGGGUUGAAUGCCAUAUUUGGGCCUUGUGCCAACUGUUUUGGACCCUUAGGGGAUUUUUACUACUGUUCCUCAUUGUUUUGAAUUCAUAUUUGUACUCAGUCAUACUGUAUUCUACUAUUUUCAUAACUCAUUCAUUUUUACUUUAUUUUUUAUAUUUUCAAUGAUAUUUUGGGUUGAGCAUCAUGUUUUGUUGUUGACCGAAUGGCUUGAGAGAUUUCUGACUGAGUGAGGCCGAUGGCCUGUGUUGUGAGUAUAUUAUGGGAUUGGGCUACGCGCCGCAACAAUAUGGUAAUGAUUUAUGAUUGUGAGGCUGAUGGCCUAAUUUGUUAUGCCACGAGGUGGCUUGUUAUAAGGCCGAGUGCCUGUUUGAUUAUGCCACGAGAUGGCUUGAUAUUACGCUUGGGAUAUAAGGGCCCCUUCCAAAGUCUGUACACCCCUAGUGAGCGCGAGUACCCAUUGUGAGUGAUGUGAUGUAGCCCGAGGAGCUUUUGUCGAUUCAUAUUGUUGCCCGAGGGGCUAUUGUUGGUUCAUAUUGUUGCCCAAGGGGCGUUUCUUGAUUCAUGUUAUGCCCGAGGGGAUGAUUACGAGUGAUUGUGAGGUAUCCCGAGGGGCUGGUUCUGUUGAUAUUAUGCCCGAGGAGCGAUUUAUGAUACAUGUUCUGCCCGAGGGGCUGUUUACGUUUUCUAUCAUUUACAUUCACUAUUUUAUCACUCAUUUGAAAUUAUUGAAAGUUGUUUUAAAAGAUUUUUACUGAAACUGAGCUUGAUUUACGAAGUAAAUGAUUUGUGUACUACUUUGGAAAUGAUCUACAUUUGUUGUAGUGUUAUGACGUGGUUACGUGUUUUCUUGCUGCUCAACUUUCAUUUACUUUUAUUACUUACUGAUUUGGCAUACUCACAUUACUCCCUGCAUCUUGUGUGUAGAUUUUGGUGUUUCUGAACCCGGUAGCAGGUGUUGAUUGCCCAGUGGCAGAGUCAUCAGAGUUAGCAAGGUAGAUGCCCGACGUUCGCAACAUUGCUUUUCUCCCUCUUGUCUUCCUUAGAUUGUAUUUAGCACAUUUUUGACUCUUCGUUGUAUUCGGACCUUAGUAGAUGCUCGUAACUUGUGACACCCCGAUGUCGGGCUUGUGUAUUUAUUCCGCACUGUUUAUUUAAACUUUUAUUAUGAAAUAUUGGAAUAAUUAAAGGCUUAAAAAUGAUUGCCAAUAAUUAAAUGGUUAAUUCGGGAGUUGCGUCGGUUGGCCUAGUUUCACGAUAGGUGCCAUCACGACCGGGCCGGUUUUAGGGUCGUGACAAGUUGGUAUCAGAGCCUAGGUUACAUAGGUCUCACGAGUCAUGAGCAAGUUUAGUAGAGUCUCGCAGAUCGGUACGGAGACGUCUAUGCUUAUCCUCGGGAGGUUGCAUAACCUUUAGAAAAAACUUCCCAUUCUUGAAUUCUUAUUGUGCGUCCUUGAUUCAGAUUGAAAUGUAACUCUUUGAAUUCCUUCCACCCGUUCAUAUGCGCAUAUGAGCGCUCGACAUCCGCUUUGCAUUGACGAUUUGUGAUUCACUGAUCGAGGGGCGAGGUGUGAUCUCUGUGUGUUGAUGUUGGGCCAGUCUACAGGACUUGAGGCUGGGUUUUGCCUAUAGCUUGAGCACUAAGGUGUUGAUUGUGUGUGCACGUGAUUUUGGAUUUGUAUGUCCGAUAGUGUCCCUAUUAGUGGGAGUGAUAACUGGAUAGCUAUGUGAGGACUAUGAUGUGACUGCGAGAUGUGUACAUAUGAUUUGAACGAGACAAGAAGGGUCUACUUGGGGGUACUAAGAACUAUCUAGUGCUUGAUUCCCAUCAUGAUUUGAUGUAUAGCCCGAGUUGUAGGCUUUUUGAAGGAUCUUUUCAUGUUUCCUAGUUGGGAAGUGAAGUAGAUUUCAGGUUGUGAUAUGAGUUGUAACUCAGGAAGAUUAAGUGAUCGCAUAAUGUUUAUGACGGUGGAAGGGUAUAAAUAGAUGUUAGUUUGAGGCAAAGCAGGUGGGUUAUCUCCUGCGGAGUGUUCUGAUGUUUGUGUGAUCCUUAUGUUGUUGUUGGAGGAUCUCCUUUACUAGUGAGAUAUACACGUGUUGUAAUUUGAAUUUGGGUUUCUUAAGAGAGUGGGCUUGACUGUUACGAGGGUGAAUGCGAGAUUUGCAGAAGAUUUAAAGUACUAGAUGGUCUGUGUUUCACGAGCUUAUAAAGGAUUGAGUUUAAUCUUACUAUGGUAUUAUGGCAGUAAUAGAGUAUAUGCAUUAUGAGUUAUUGUGUGUUUUGAUCUAUGGCUUUGAGCCAAGUGGGGGAGUCUGCUAUUGAUUAGUUGAUUUCACGGUUAUGUGCUAUGUUGGUUCUAGUUUGAGGUGUACGGGUGAAUCAGUUAUGGCUUACGAAGGUUGAGACCGAGGAUGGCUUAAGUAAAAGAAAUUUCAAUAAAGGUUAUGUUAUGCUUUAUGGGUGUAUGAGAAUCAUGGAAUGACUUGAGUUGUUAUUGGUAGAGGAUGUACGGUGCAUAGAGCAGAAAGUUGCUUGGUUGUAUGUUACAUUCUGCGGUGUCGAAGUACUAAUGGAGCAUAGGUCAUCUAGUCCGUUUGAUCGGUCUAAUUGCGGUUUGAGUGGAGUGGAUGACUCUCGAGAAUGGUUCUAAUGAGUUCAAGAUUUUACAUGUAAUAAUUUGAGAUUUUCAAGUUGUAUAAUUGGCUAGAAACUGAGGUUUGCAUUGGACGGUAUCAAUACUCGUGGUAUUUCUUUAUCACUAGGGGAUUCUAUAUAGAAAUAUCAGGAAUGUGAAGGUAAUGUCUUUGGAUUCGCAGAAAGUAUAUUCGGGGUAGGCAUUUUGAAUGUUGUGCAUUUGGGAAUAUUUAAUAGAGUAUCCGACGGCUUAUGAGCCUUAGACGGUGUGGCUUUAUGCUUGGGUCUCGUGUGGUGAGUCUGGGUUGAGGAAUUUUGGUGUUAUAGCAUGAAGAAGAAUCAAGGUGAAGAUAAAUCAAAAGGAACUUGGAUAGAUGCGAUAGCUUGGUAGUAGGCCGGAUCAUAAUGGAAAGGAUAUGACUAUUUCUUUGGGUGCUUACGAGGUAAUGAGUUUCUACAGGUGUUUCGCAGCAAUGCUCUUGGGUUUUAGUGGCUUGCGUAGCUUGGUUGAGUUAGAAGGAUUCAGUCCUGACGGUUUAGUUUUGUGCGAAUGGAAUUUGGAGAGUUCUUGAUGGUUCCUACCGCGGUUAGAGAUGUAUAUUUUUUACUUGCGUGAGGAACAUGGGAUGUAUAGUGAUUUCUUCUAGAUGGGAUCAAUGGAAAGUUAUUGUAUAGUGAUUAUAUGGUAUGUGCGGUAUGUUGUGUAGGAUUGAGAUUUGCAUGUGUAAGGUCACGAUUCAAUUUUAAAAAGAAGGUCACAAUUCUUGGGUAGCAUGGACAGUUUCAGGUGACUAGAUAAAUGAGAUAACUAACUGGUAUGGCUUGAUGAGAGUAUGCAUUUUCAAAAAAAGAGCAAGUGUUUGAGUUGAGGAUACUUUAUUAGUAUUGCGGCACUCUCUUAUUGGAUCGACUGCUAAGAUUCGAGUUUUCUUGGUGGCGCGGAGGAAUUAUAGGAGUACCUCUUAUGAGAGAUUGGGUAUUAGAGGUGUGUUGUAUAUUCAGACGAUGGAGUUGGGAUCGGAUAUGGUCAUUCCAUGCUGUAUGGAUUUGGAGGCUGGGAGAUUCUCAUAAACAGGUUAGGUCUUGGUUGUAGACCGUGUAUAUCGGUCUUGUGUGGUAAUUAUUAGGGAUUUGGAGACCUGAGCGGAUCCUUGUUGCUUAGUAUGCCAGAUUUUGGUGUGAUUUUAGGUAUGGACUGGUUGUCUCCGUGUCGUGUUAUUCUGUGUUGUUGCGCUAAGGCGGCGACAUUGGCAAUGUCGGGGAUGCCACGGAUUGAGUGGAGAAGUUCGACGGAUUAUGCUUCCAGUAGUGUAUAUGGUGAAAUCAGGGGAACCGAUUUCUCGUUAAUAAGGCAUUUCGGGAGAUCACCUCGGAGACUCGAGACCACGGACCGAGUACCCCCACCUUGAGAUCUACCGACAUCCGGCCUGGAGUAAUGUUGGCCGAGACCCUAACAGGCAUGGGGAGUUUCCGAAGAAUGCAGUCGGGGCCGGUAAAGUCUAUCAGGUUAGUCUAAAGUUGGUCUGUGCCUACAUCAUGAAGCUAGUCAGUUGUCCCAUCCCUCUUUCUUUAUAAUUAAUGUAUCUUGUACUAUGUUGGAUUUUCCCCUCCUAUAUAAAGGGGAUCCUUGGCACUUUGUAAACUCUGUUGUUCCAUCCGCUUCACAAGAAAUAUAGAAGAACACUCUCUUUGCAUUAUCAUACACUCCCUCGAUAUUAUUAUUUUCAUUUAUCACAUUCAUACUUGUUCUUCAUUUAUUGCUUAUCAUUGGCCAUGUAGAGCAUCUUUUAAUUAUAUCCUAACUGUUAACCCUUUCCUGAUUAUCCCCGAUAGCUCGAGCUCGAGCUCAGGCAUCGACCUCGAGGCCCCUCAUCGGUCAGUCCGAGGUACGAAUAGCUAACCCCUAGGUUCGGUUAUAACUCUUCUUUAGCUCGCAUUUUAUCUUUUACCUCCACAUAUCUAGCAUCAACUGCUUAACAACUAGCAUAAAAAUAGAUCACGUAUUUUUAGAGUCGUAUCAACAAAUUUAAUUGUUAUUACCAUUUUCACGAUAAUUGUGAAGGUCGAACAUUAAGGUUGUAGGCUAGGGGAAGUUGUGANNNNNNNNNNNNNNNNNNNNNNNNNNNNNNNNNNNNNNNNNNNNNNNNNNNNNNNNNNNNNNNNNNNNNNNNNNNNNNNNNNNNNNNNNNNNNNNNNNNNNNNNNNNNNNNNNNNNNNNNNNNNNNNNNNNNNNNNNNNNNNNNNNNNNNNNGUUGUUGUUCUUGUUGUAUUUUCACGAUAAAUAGUUUGGCGCCCACCGUGAGGCUAAAAAUAAUAGUGAUUAUUUUCUUGCUAGUUUUGUUAAACAAUGCAAGUUAUCUUUCACACUUUUUAUUGUCCGAGAUCUUCUAUUUCAGGUCAAAAUGUCUGGCUUUGUAAACAGAGUUGAGAAUGACAACCUUGAAAAUCAUGGAGAAAAUGGUGUGAUUGUUCCCAUUGUUGGCGCGCCACCACAGAACCUCGAUAAUGCACCUGGACCGAUUCCAGCGGACGCGGGUUCGCAAGACGUACAGCAGGUCGACGAAACCUCACACACCGAUAGGAGCAUACAACAUGGCGACCAACGGGAAGACCAAAAAAACCUAGCUCGGGAAGAACGAGAAGUUAGCCUUCAUGUUAUUUUUGAAAUGUUGCAGGCACAACAACUGGAUAUCGCUCAGCUGCAAAGUUAUCCGAAGACUUCCUGCACGGUAGCACCGGGGACAAGUCACCCAGCCGAACAGGUACCUUGGACAUCGAGCAAUAACAGAUAGAUAGUCGACCCUGUCAUCGUAAAAAUGCUCGAAGACCUCACCAAAAGGAUCGAAUCGGGCGAGAAAAUGAUAGUAGCCAACGAUAAGAAGGUCUUGACCUACAACUCCAGGGUCGACCAGAUCCAGGGCGCAACCCUGGUCCUGAAAGUUGUGGAUUCGAAGAAGUUCAUACAAAGGUCGUUCCUCGAAGAAGCGGCCCCGAAAUCCAUUCCAAAGAAGUUCAGAAUUCUGGAACUCCCAAAGUACAACGGGACCUCAGACCCCAAUGAACACGUUACUGCCUACACUUGCGCGGUAAAGGGCAACGAUAUAAAUAACGAUGAGAUCGAGUCUGUAUUGCUGAAGAAGUUUGGGGAAACACUCUCAAAGUGGGCCAUGAUAUGGUAUCACAACUUGGCUCCAAACUCCAUAGAUUUGUUCGCCAUGCUAGCAGACUCCUUUGUAAAGGCACAUGACGGUGCCAUCAAAGUAGCGAUGAAGAAGUCCGACGUUUUCUAAAUUAAGCAAAGGGAGAACGAGAUGCUAUGGGAAUUCGUGUCUCGCUUUCAAAUGGAAGGGAUGGAGCUACCGCCAUUCUCCGAUGACUGGGCAGUGUAGGCUUUUACUCAAGGUCUGAAUGAACGAAGCUCGGUGGCUUCAAAACAGUUGAAACUGAAUUUGAUCGAGUAUCCAGCUAUGACCCGGUCGAACGUCCACAACCGGUACCAGUCAAAUAUUAGGGCCGAGGGUGACCAGUUGGGAGCCCCCUCGGGCUCAAUAUACCCAAGAAGGCUCCUGGCAAAGGAACCAAAACCAAACAAAGAAAGAUAUCAGCCGUACAUUGAAGAUAGGAGGAACACCCCGAGGCGCAACCCACCUCGUAAUGAUCGGAGAAUAGAUUGAGGACAGGAUCCUCGAGGACUCAUCAAUAGAGCUAGAUACGGUAGGAGCGCAGGGCCAACGGGUGCACCUCACUUAUCGGAGUACAACUUCAACAUCGAUGUAUCGGACAUCGUGUUCUCCAUCAGUAAUAUCAGAGACACCAAGUAGCCCAGGCCUAUGCAAUCGGAUCACUCACAAAGGAAUCACAACUUAGUGUGCGAGUUUCACAACACGCACAGCCACAGGACCGAGGAUUGCCACCAACACCGAGAAGAGGUAGCCUGACUACUUAACAAAGGGAAUCUCCGGGAAUUCCUUAGCGAUCAAGCCAAAAAUCAGUUCUGAGAAAGAGAGGCGACCAAGAAAAAUGAGGUAAACGAGCCACAACAUGCCAUCCACAUGAUCAUAAGAGGCGUCGAUGCCCCGCAGGAACCUGUAAUGAGAAGGACAAAAAUAUCCAUCACCAGAGAAAAGUGGACCGGGGGAUAUAUUCCUGAGGACGCCCUCACAUUCAGUGAAGAGGACACCGAGACCUUGUCUCAAACUCACAAUGAUGCACUAGUAAUCUUUUUCCUUGUAAAUUCUUUUCAAAUAAAACGUGUACUCGUGGAUCCAGGUAGCUCGGCCAACAUUAUCAGGUCGAGGGUGAUAGAGUAGCUCGGGCUGCUCGACCAAAUCGUGCCCGCCACUCAAGUCCUUAACGGAUUCAACAUGGCAAGUGAAAUAACGAAAGGAGAAAUCAUCCUCCCGGUCACGAUGGUCGGCAUUACCCAAAACGCCAAAUUCCAUGUCUCUGAAGGAGACAUGAGGUAUAACACCUUAUUAGGACGGUCGUGGAUACACUGCAUGAGAGCGGUACCAUCCACUCUUCACCAAAUGAUGAAAUUCCCAACAAAGGACGGAAUUAAAACCGUCUACAGGGAACAACAUGCGGCAAGGGAAAUGUUCGCGGUGCACGAUGUGGCACCGACGCUCGCACCUUCGCCCGCGAAAGAGCCAAAAGGUAAUCGAGCCACACCCUCGAUCAAGCCCGAUUAAAUUAAAUAAAGGACCAUAUCGUGUCCUCAUCUCGAGUGAUUGGAACAUAUCGAUUCUCAAAACAUCGACGGCGCAUCUCAUAUUAACGUACGACCAUCUCCCUUUUCAUUUCGUAUUUCAGACUAACCUUUAUGUAGGCACCCGAUCAAAGCGGUCAGAAUGCUAACCCAGCCCGAAGACCUUAAGGUUUUAUAGCAUCCAUUGCACUCUUUUCCUUCAACCGAGUUUUUAUCUCGAAAAAGGGUUUUACCAGCAAGGUUUUUAAUGAGGCAACAUCUGCAUGCUACCUAAGGGAAACUCAACAAAUGCUCGAGGAUUCUUUUGCAAUCAAACACGAACACUGGGGGGCAUUCCCCCACUCUACUACCCCCCCUCCCGUGAAGCCACCCGCUCGAAAAAACCAAGAAACGCCAAAAUGGGGUCCCUAUAGGAAAGUAAUGUACCUAGCCAAAUGGUCGAACGAACCAUGUCCAUAUAGUCGGGCCCCCGAUGGCGAAUACAUGUACACUUGUAUCAAAUAAUCAUAGAAUACCUUUUGUCAAGACAUCUCGCGCUCCAAAAGAGGCUCGGCACCUUUGCAAAAACAACUCCUCCGCCGGAAACAUCCCGAACACUCGGGGACUGGCAUCGACAAUUCAACACUUAAACGACCUCCGGGUCGGGACUCCUAAAUAGUAAGCCCUCAGAUAAGGCAAUGCAAAAAUCGCUAAACAUCUCCAGCUCCAAAAGUACCUCGAGUACUCGGGGACGAGCAUCGAAAUAUCAAAAGAAAAAUGCACGUCCUCAAGGUUGGGAUCUUCGAAAUUGUAAUCCCUCGAUGAGGCAAUACAAAGAUUCAAAAAAUGGCUCCUGUGUCAAGAAACUCUCGACGACUCGGGGACUGCCGUCAAAGCGCCACCUCCUUUGACUCAUCAAAACACGAGGCCAUAAGACCCCGAGCAGGCAGACUAGGUCUCGUAAGACCUACCUAAGGCAACAACUAAACGGUAAGACCUCAACGGCAUGAAAAAAAAACUGUAAGACCUCAACGGCAUGAAAAAACUGUAAGACCUCAAGCAACGCAUGAAUCACACUUGUACCAAGUGUCAACAAAACUAUAAGACCUUAACGGCAUGAAAAACUGUAAGACCUCAACGACAUAAAAAACUAUAAGACCUCAAGUAAGGCAUGAAUCACACUUGUACCAGGUGUCAACAAAUCUGUAAGACCUCAACGGGAUGAAAAAAACUGUAAGACCUCAAGCAAGGCAUGAAUCAUACUUGUACAAAUUAUCAACAAAACAGUAAGACCUCAAAAGGCAUGAAACUUUUGUAAGACCUUACUACAAGCAUAAACUCGAUCCCGAAGUUUAGGCUAUAUAUCAAAUUUGUAAGACCCCUAAAAAGGCAUGCCCUCGAUAUAGAUGCCUAACUACUACACUCGGGACCAAAAAUGGCUACAGCCAAACACAAAUGACUACAGUCAUACGGCGGUACCAGCCGAAUUAACGCGACUCGGGGAUGCCUGACUGUCGCUACAAAAUCAUAGGCCAUUACUUCGAAUCUACUUCGAAAAAAAUCGGUUAAACAUGCUACCCUCGAAAGGAAAAAGAUCUUCGACCAUAUUAGCACCAAACACAAGGCUUCUAGCUACUCAGCCUACGAGCCAAACAUUUCUAGGUGCUCGAACAUUGCCGCAAACGACUUGAAAUCGAGGUUCUUCUCGAACCAACAACAGGUCAAGCAAAAUCAUUUCAAAGAAGGUCCUUAACAAGAGGAAAACAAAGCCUACAUAUGCCUAAGGGCAAAGCGUAAGAACCAUUAUCGCCAGCCUAAUGAGACUCAGGACUAUACACACCAAAAGGUCGCAUCGACCAAAAGCGUAAGAGCCACUAUCGCCAGCUUAAAAUUUGAAAGCUUGAGGGUCGAAAUGAGCUCGAGUCGUAACCCGAUUCGGAGACCAGACCCAAAAUAGCUAACUAUACAUGCCUGAGGCCAAAGCGUAAGAGCCAUUAUCUCCAGCUUAAUAAGCCUCAGGGCUGUGCAUAUAAAAGGUCACAUUGACCGAGAGCGUAAGAGCCCCCAAGCCUGCCUAAUAAGACCUAGGGCCAUAUCAUGAAUCUAAGGAUUCUCACCAACUCUGAAACCAGUCCACCUGGUCAGAAGGGAAGCAGAAAGGGUUACUAAAGAGAUAAAGCAGCAAGUUUUCUUUUAUUUACAUACAUGAAAAAGUGCACGCUCCAUCUACAAACAUGCUCUGAGGACAUCACAUAGAAAAUGGCAAAGUCUAUGCCCCACCCCUAAGGUCUACGGCCUAUCAUCCUCAUCUUCACUCUCCUCGAUGUCGGACAGGAGUGACCAAGCACCACGUUCGUCCGCCCUCGCUCGUGCCAAGUUUUCCGGGAGAACAAAACCCCUGGCAUCGAUCUCCUCGAGAACCUUUUUUCGGGAUCUGCAACGAGCAUAUUCUUUGAUCCUCUCUUCACAAUCGAGGAUCCUCUUCAAAUCGGCUUGGGCAUCGGUAGCAUACUUCAAAUAAAUCGCCAUCUCCUAAUCAGCCUUAGUGCGGCUCAGUGCUGCUUCGGUUUAAGCAUCAACGACCUCAGCCUUGACUUUUGAAAGCUCAGACUCGAGCUUUAAAAUCAUUUCUGUUUGAACCAAAGCAUUGUCGCGAGCUAGGCGAAGUUAGGCUUCAAAAGCAGGAACUUUGGCUGGAGAUCCCUUCCCCCUAAAGCCUGAGCCUCCGCCCGAGCUUUCAACUCAUCACACUCAUACCUGGCCCGGCCAACUUCAUCUCGAAGGCGUUCUAGGGCCUCCGUCUUUUUCUACAACUAAAAUAAACUAAGUAUUAGCCCCAGGAUCCAGAAGGCGGAAUGCACACUCAUCCGGGAUAGAAAACUACCUACUCUUUCAGGUGGUUUUCAUAGUUUAAGUUCUGACUCGCCUCAUACUACAAAAUGCACCAACUCGACCUUUUUAUCACCACAAAGGAGCCUUAGGGAUCUCUCCUCAUCCAGAGCUUUCCAUAGCAUGGCUUCACAGCGAAGCACCCCAGACUCGAGCUUGUCGGAUGCCUGCAAAAGAAAACUCAUUAAGGAAGAGAGGAAGGCGCAAUUACAAAACCAGCUUUCUCCAUAGAAAGAAUUGAUAAAGCACGAGAUGCACCACUUACAAGCAUAGCUCCAUUCCUCAGUGAAUGGCAUGAGCUCCUCGGGUAUAAUGUCAACGGUCCGCACGUGGACGAAGAGACUCAUCCAUACCCGGUCUUUGUUUUCCUUGAUGUCAACAAUGAAGGGCUUAGUCAAUCGACACCACAAAGUUAACAGAUCUUGAUGGUCCUGAGGACCGGAGGCGGAGCUCUCCCCUCCCUGUCGGACAAACCCCGAUAUAGCCGCCGUGGCGGUCACAAAAUUAGAGAACUAAAAAUCAAGAAUAUGUGCAGACGCAUUUGUGCUGGAGUGCCAAAAGGCUGGCGCAGAAAGAGAAGGACAUCUGCUUAAAAUUGGGUAACCCCCGAAAAGGUAGAAACAACCCUAUUUAUAUAUGGAAAAAAUGGCGAUGAUUCGCCUGCCUCGAAGCCGGUUAAGAACACUAACCGAUAAUACCCUCUCCAGUCCAAAGGUGGUAUCCGACCUAGAGGACCUCCAUCAAGACAAGGCUAGGCUCCAGGAAGCCGAUGACACCUUCGCCAACACCGAGGUGGUACCCGACCUCGAGGAUCUCCAUCAAAGGGAAGUUUAGGCUCCAGGAAGCCAAUAGCAUCAUGACGAGACCCGAGGUGAUACUCGACCUUAGGGAUUUUUUGUCAAAAGGAAAUCAAGCUCCAAGAAAAUAAGCAUUUAAACUCCACCCGUAUGGGCUUGGCCCCGGGUACCAUCCAAGAUCGGACAAACCUCCUUUCAAAAUCUACCUGCAGCUCCAUAAGGCUAUUAGUGCUAAACCCAGAGCGCGUUUUCGGUUGGUUCGAAUUUUAAUGAAUCUUUGCUCGGGGACUACCCUCAAGAGAUCAAAGGCAGCCCCCGUUCACGGGCCCCCAGAGAAAAUUUCUUCUCAAAGGUUACCACGGAGUGUAACUAGUAAGUCAUGAUUCUAAGGCCCAAAACGUUAUUCUCAUUGUACUCGAAGUCAAGGUCCCGACGACCCGAGUCUAUGGACCCUAUUCAGGUUCGAUCCAAGGGAUCACAAAGGAUUCCGUGCGAAGCCAUUGUUAUCAACCAAAGGCCGGAAGGAAUACUCCCAUCUAGGUUCGGUAUUAGCAACAAUAGACAGAGCCAUUCAUGAGUCUCCACAAACAUAAAAGAAUGCAGCAAGCAUCGAAGACAAAUCGGGAAAAAAUCUUAGUAUUCAUGAAACAUUCUAUUAAAAAAGCCCACGAGGGGUCCUUACAUAUGAUUACAAAAGCUCACGUGGGGUCCUUAUACGGGAACAAAGAAUUAGAAGGGUGUACACGGAAUAAAACCCUAAGAACCUAGCCUAUUCUUAAAGGUGUGCCCUCAAUAGCAACAUUUUCAAUAUCAUCUCCUCAAGCACGCAUCCUCAAAGACAAUAUCUUCCAAGCACGAUCCCCUCGGGAGUCUUAUCUCGAUUCCCCAAAAUGGCAUCUUCAAAAGGAGAGACGAUGAAGGAGAAAGUGAUGGAGAAGAGAAAAGUGACAUGGAAAAGGCAUGCAGGAAUGAAGAAGUGGUUGGGUGAAAGAUCUGGCUAGUAUGGAUUUCGCCAGGCUAUUACUGUAAAGCCACUUCUUGAGAUGUUUCCCCGACAAGGGUGGCAACAGUUAGUAAACAGCGCCUCCACACCCUAAGGAAUCCAAAAAGGGUGUAAUACGCCAAGCCGGGGCAGGAGGGUGAGUAGGGGUGUAUAAUCCAAGCCCCCUCUCGAGAAGCAGUGUGUAAUCCAUAUAUUUCCUUGGGCCAAAGGAAAUUGGCCCUUUGCUUCAUUGUCCUGAGCCAACAGACAACAACAACAACAACAAUAACAACAACAUAAAAGCAGCAUCAUCUCGCUCGACCAGAGAAGGUCCGGGAGAUAGGCCGUAGUAUACCUGAAAUCGCCAUAACAUCUUGAGGCCAUGGGCCCCAAACAUGGUGAACGACAAAGAAUAAAGAUAGCGAGAAAGGAGGAAUGGAUAGGUAUGGAAAGAUACUUGGGUAAAAGGGAGAUCCCAGGAUAUCCCUAUUUAUAGAAAGGGGGGUAACAUAACCGAUGGUGCUAUUAUCGCCCUAAAAAACAUAAUGAUAGGCACAUUCAAUGCGUCCAUGAGAGCUGAAUUGAUGGCGACAUUAUGGCUCUGAAGAAUGGGAAAUCGGAACGCGUUGAAUGGUCCUAGAAAAGCAAAAUGACGAAACAUUUCGGCAAUCAUGGAGGCAUGCGUCAUCAGCACGAUGUCAUUACAGGAAACCUGAAGAGUGGGGAUGUCAAAAUCGUUUCUUGUCGCUCCUCUCUAAGGAACGGGGGGACUAUCUGUAUACGGUGAAAUUGGGGGAACCAAUUUCUCGUUAAUAAGGCAUUUCGAGAGAUCACCUCGGAGACUCGAGACCACGGACCGAGUACCCCCACCUUGAGAUCUACAUACAUCCGACCUAGAGAUAAUGUUGGUCGAGACCCCAACGGGCAUGAGAAUUUCUGAAGAAUGCAGCUAGGGCCAGUUAAGUCUAUCAAGCUAGUCUAAAGCUGGUCUGCACCUACAUGAAGCUAGUCAACUGUCCCAUCCUGCUUUCUUUAUCAUUAAUGUAUCUUGACUAUGUUGGAUUUGCCCCUCCUAUAUAAGGGGGAUCCUUGGCAUUUUGUAAAUUCUGUUGUUCCAUCCGCUUCACAACAAAUAUAGAAGAACACUCUCUUUGCUUUCUCAUACACUCCCUCGAUAUUAUUACUUUCAUUUAUUACGUUCAUACUUGUUCUUCAUUUAUUGCUUAUCAUUGGUCAUGUAGAGCCCCCUUUAUUUAUAUCCUAACUCUUAACCCUUUCCCGAUUAUCCCCAAUAGCUUGAGCCCGAGCUCAGGCAUCGACCUCGAGGCCCCUCAUCGGUCAGUCCGAGGCCCGAAUAGCUAACCCCUCAGUUUGGUUAUAAUUUUACUUUAGCUCGCAUUUUAUCUUUUACCUCCACAUAUCUAGCAUCAACUACUUAACAAUACGCAUAAAAAUAGAUCACGUAUUUUUAGAGUCCCAUCAACAAAUUUAAUUGUUAUUACUAUUUUUAUGGUAAACAAGUAGGGUGAUUUCAUUUUUGAAGACCCAGCGGAUGGUUGGGAAGGGUUGUCUUCCUUAUUUGGACUUCGUGAUGGAUUCCAGUGCAGAGACUUCUACCAUUGACUCAGUUCCGGUGGUGAGGGAUUUUUUGAAUGUGUUUCUUACUGCCGGGCAUGUCGCCGGACAGGGUUGUUGAUUUCUGUAUUGAUUUGGUGUCAGGCAUCGUAUCGUAUGGCAACGGCAGAGUUAAAGGAGUUGAAGGAGCAGCUUUAGAAACUCCUUGACAAGGGGUUCAUUGGUAGGGCAAUAUGGAUGUGUGUUCUAACUCGAGCCGGCUUGGUUGACUCCGAGUUGCAUUGUUGAGGGAUGUGUUGAUUCGAUUGUUAUUGAGCUUAUUAGUGAUCUAGAGAGAUAUGUGAGUUACCAUUCCAUAUUUCAAGGCAUUAGAAUUUGCUAGUUAUAGGCACAUGUGGUGCGGUUUUAUUUGGGUCUCUCAGUGGAAUUAGAGCGGGAGGAGUAUUGGGUAUUGCUUGGUGGCUGGUGUAUUGGUUGUUCCUUUUGGGUUUGUGUAAUGUUAUUUCAAUUUCUUCGUCAUGGUUAUGAUUAUUUGCUUUGGUUCUAGACAUCAAAUUGCGUGUGGUUGUCGAUUUUGAGCAUAGUGACUUGAGGUGUUUCAUGUGACAAGUGUUUGGAUAGGGUCACGCAUUGCAGCGAAGUUAUGUGGAGGUAUGACCAUUCGGGUUGGAUUUGUGUAUUAUGUUUCUAUGAUGUGUGACGGGUUCUCUGCAUUGUGUGUGGUGGUACUGGCGAGCUUGCGGUACCGCUCUCUUAUUUGAGACAUUUUCAUGAUUUGAGUAUGUUCGGAUUGUUGCUAGUUGGUGCGCGGAUUGUACGAGUUGUGGCUUUAGAUUGUAUUGAUGUGUCAUAUCACCAGAGUAGUUUUGUUGGAUUAUAUGAGAUUGUUGGGAUCCAUAAUGAAUACUGUCACACCUUUUUUUUACUACCCCCGGAAGGGUAUAAUGGAGUUUUUUCAAAUUUAAGUGGCAAUCGAAACAGGAUUAUUUAUUUAAAAUUCAGAGUCGCCACUUGGAAUAAUUUAUGGUGUCCCAAGUCACCAAUUUUAAAUCCUGAGUCAAUGAAAGAUUGAAUCUGUUUUAUAGUCCGCGAACACAGAUAUCCGGGUAAGGAAUUUUGUUAACCCGGGAGAAGGUGUUAGGCAUUCCCGAGUUCCGUGGUUCUAGCACGGUUGCUCAACUAUUAUUAUUGGCCUAAUUAUCUAAUUUUAAAAUACUUUUACACCUAUGUGCAUUUUUAACUUCCCAACCGCUUUAAAUUAUUAAAGGAAUUAUUUCAAAGUUAUUUAAAACACAUCGUAAUCCACGUUGCAUGAAAUGCACCCGUGGUUCACGACACGUUCUAUUUAAACUUGUUGGAGAUUAGAAUCGGGUCACAUGAAAUGUACACCCAGGUUUUAAUAAUUGCAUAUCACAGCUACGUCACGGGUGCCGUACCCGUAGCCAUGAUAAUUGUUUAACUAACGCGCCUAAAGAAAACUACGAAAUUCAUGAUUUUAUAUUUAGGUUAGGAAAUUAACACGAGGGCCAUGAGCGAUUUAAUUAUGGAUGGCACACCUCAAUCAAUUUCCUCCCUUCCUCAACCUUCCCCUCUUUACUCAACCCUGUGACAAUAAUACAAGUGCUAAAAUUAUCCAAAAAUUUAUUCUCAACACAACCAUCACUUCUCUUAACGAGUUCAUCAUACAGUCGCCUAGCUGUAUUAAUCUUACCAUCUUUUACAAGACCAUAAAGUAAACAAUUAACAGAAACUACAUGUGGAACGAAAUUGUAAGUUUUGAACACAAUGUAAUACAAUUCAACAGCUUUAUCAACCAAAUUGGAAUCAGAGUAAGCUAUCAAUAAGCACCUUGGCUGCUUAAAUUUGAUAUUUAGACAUCAUCAACUAUCUAAUUCCCCGAGAUCUUAAAUGGCGCUUCAUCAAUUUAUUUCAUAACAAACAAGACUAGAGGAGAGAGAUAGAAAUGGACCUCGAUAAAAAAAGCUUCUUCAAUACGAUUCUGUCCAAAAUAGUACAAUGAACGCCAAAAAAACUUUAAUGAAGUCAGCUACCAAAGAAACAGAAUCCACGACCUCAGAGCCCAGAUUGAACCUCGGACGGUGAUCUCAAAUCAAGACUGAAAAUCAAACUUGAACCUCAAAUAAACUCCCAUUUUUAAAAAUCAAAAUUGAAAGAUGAGAUUGAAACUAUUUUUGUACAUAUUUUCUGGAACAUAAAUCCUAGCCAAUUCAAGACAGAAACAUCAUUUUUUUCUUUAAAAAUAUGAACGAAAUAGAUGGUCGCUGAUCUCUCACUCUACUUCAGCUGGUUUCUGGCGAGUUGGAGAAGUGCUGGCGGAGAUCGACCUGGUUGUUGCUCCAAGUUCAGGGGUUGCUGGUUCAUUGUUAAUGGGAAGAAGCAGAGGCAGCGAUGGCUAUGGUGUUCGCCGGUUCUCUGUUCAUCGGCGACUGUGCGUGUGUGUCGACGGCUGAGGGUUCCCUGUUGUUGAAGAAGAAGAGAAUGGGUGGGGGUUCUGAUUUGCUAAUGUUGAAGAAAAUGAAAAAGCUACACAGGGGGGGGUCCUAUGUAUUGCGACUGAUAGCAACCUUAGGGUCUUAGGUCUCUAGGUUUAUUUAUCUUGUUGUCUUUCGCUAAUAGUCUUUUUU
rnacentral:lncRNA from 1 species